rnacentral:rRNA from 1 species
GACGAACGCUGGCGGCGUGCUUAACACAUGCAAGUCGAACGCUGAAGCUCAGCUUUUGUUGGGUGGAUGAGUGGCGAACGGGUGAGUAACACGUGAGUAACCUGCCCCCUUCUUUGGGAUAACGCCCGGAAACGGGUGCUAAUACUGGAUAUUCACUGGUCUUCGCAUGGGGGUUGGUGGAAAGGGUUUUUCUGGUGGGGGAUGGGCUCGCGGCCUAUCAGCUUGUUGGUGGGGUGAUGGCCUACCAAGGCUUUGACGGGUAGCCGGCCUGAGAGGGUGACCGGUCAGAUUGGGACUGAGAUACGGCCCGGACUCCUACGGGAGGCAGCAGUGGGGAAUAUUGCACAAUGGGCGCAAGCCUGAUGCAGCGACGCCGCGUGAGGGAUGGAGGCCGUGGGGUUGGGAACCUCUUUCGCUCAUGGUCAAGCCGCAACAAUGGUUGUGGUGAGGGUAGUGGGUAAAGAAGCGCCGGCUAACUACGUG